rnacentral:rRNA from 1 species
UCUGGCCUAAGGUGGGGGACAACCACUGGAAACGGUGGCUAAUACCGCAUAAGCCUGAGGGUGAAAGAUUAAUUGCCUAAGGAUGAGCUCGCGUCUGAUUAGCUAGUUGGUAGGGUAAGAGCCUACCAAGGCGACGAUCAGUAACUGGUCUGAGAGGAUGACCAGUCACACUGGGACUGAGACACGGCCCAGCUCCUACGGGAGGCAGCAGUGGGGAAUUUUCCGCAAUGGGCGAAAGCCUGACGGAGCAAUACCGCGUGGGGGAGGAAGGCCCUUGGGUUGUAAACCUCUUUUCUCAGGGAAGAAUACUGACGGUACCUGAGGAAUCAGCCUCGGCUAACUCCGUGCCAGCAGCCGCGGUAAUACGGAGGAGGCAAGCGUUAUCCGGAAUGAUUGGGCGUAAAGCGUCCGCAGGUGGCAGUGCCAGUCUGCUGUCAAAGCUCAGGGCUUAACCCUGAACAGGCAGUGGAAACUGCACAGCUAGAGUGCGGUAGGGGCAGAGGGAAUUCCUGGUGUAGCGGUGAAAUGCGUAGAGAUCAGGAAGAACACCGGUGGCGAAAGCGCUCUGCUAGCCCGAAAGCUGACACUCCGGGACGAAAGCUAGGGGAGCGUCAUCUUUUAAAGGGGCACCCCGUAGUU